CCCUUAGAUGCUCUGGGCCGCACGCGCGCUACACUGGUCGAUGCAACGAGUUUCUUUCCUUGGCCGACAGGCCUGGGCAAUCUUUGAACAUCGAUCGUGAUCGGGAUAGAUUCUUGUAAUUUUUGAUCUUAAACGAGGAAUUCCUAGUAAACGCAAGUCAUCAGCUUGCAUUGAUUACGUCCCUGCCCUUUGUACACACCGCCCGUCGCACCUACCGAUUGAAUGGUCCGGUGAAAUCUCCGGACUGGCGUGAGUCGGAGCAAUCUGACAAACACCGGAAAGUUGAUUAAACCUUACCAUUUAGAGGAAGAUGAAGUCGUAACA
rnacentral:rRNA from 1 species